GACGAACGCUGGCGGCGUGCCUAAUACAUGCAAGUAGAACGAGUUGCGAACGGGUGAGUAACGCGUGGUAACCUGCCUCAUAGCGGGGGAUAACCACUGGAAACGGUAGCUAAUACCGUAUUCCCUCAGAUGUGCCCAGAUGGGAGUGGCCGGUUGGUGGGGUAACGGCUCACCAAGGCGACGAUCCCUAGCUGGUCUGAGAGGAUGACCAGCCACACUGGAACUGAGACACUGUCCAGACUCCUACGGGAGGCAGCAGUGGGGAAUAUUGCACAAUGGGCGCAAGCCUGAUGCAGCCAUGCCGCGUGUAUGAAGAAGGCCUUCGGGUUGUAAAGUACUUUCAGCGGAGAGGCUUUCCCCCCCUCCGAAGCACCGGCUAACUCCGUGCCAGCAGCCGCGGUAAUUC
rnacentral:rRNA from 1 species